rnacentral:rRNA from 1 species
UACGUAGGUGGCAAGCGUUGUCCGGAAUUAUUGGGCGUAAAGCGCGCGCAGGCGGUCCUUUAAGUCUGAUGUGAAAGCCCACGGCUCAACCGUGGAGGUCAUUGGAAACUGGAGGACUUGAGUGCAGAAGAGAAGAGUGGAAUUCCACGUGUAGCGGUGAAAUGCGUAGAGAUGUGGAGGAACACCAGUGGCGAAGGCGACUCUUUGGUCUGUAACUGACGCUGA